UACGGAGGGUGCAAGCGUUAUCCGGAUUCACUGGGUUUAAAGGGUGCGUAGGCGGGCAGGUAAGUCCGUGGUGAAAUCUCUGAGCUUAACUCAGAAACUGCCAUGGAUACUAUUUGUCUUGAAUAUUGUGGAGGUAAGCGGAAUAUGUCAUGUAGCGGUGAAAUGCUUAGAUAUGACAUAGAACACCAAUUGCGAAGGCAGCUGACGAAACUAUAACUGACACUGAGGCUCGAAAGUGCGGGGAUCAAACAGG
rnacentral:rRNA from 1 species